rnacentral:rRNA from 1 species
GAUGAACGCUGGCGGCGUGCCUAAUACAUGCAAGUAGAACGCUGAAGCUUGGUGCUUGCACCGAGCGGAUGAGUUGCGAACGGGUGAGUAACGCGUAGGUAACCUGCCUGGUAGCGGGGGAUAACUAUUGGAAACGAUAGCUAAUACCGCAUGACAACAGUUAUUGCAUGAUAACUGUUUAAAAGGGGCAAUUGCUCCACUACCAGAUGGACCUGCGUUGUAUUAGCUAGUUGGUGAGGUAACGGCUCACCAAGGCGACGAUACAUAGCCGACCUGAGAGGGUGAUCGGCCACACUGGGACUGAGACACGGCCCAGACUCCUACGGGAGGCAGCAGUAGGGAAUCUUCGGCGAUGGACGGAAGUCUGACCGAGCAACGCCGCGUGAGUGAAGAAGGUUUUCGGAUCGUAAAGCUCUGUUGUAAGAGAAGAACGAGUGUGAGAGUGGAAAGUUCACACUGUGACGGUAUCUUACCAGAAAGGGACGGCUAACUACGUG